UUAGCCUCUUAGCGGGGGAUAACUAUUGGAAACGAUAGCUAAUACCGCAUAAAAGUCGAUAUCGCAUGAUGUUGAUUUGAAAGGUGCAAUUGCAUCACUAAGAGAUGGACCUGCGUUGUAUUAGCUAGUUGGUGAGGUAACGGCUCACCAAGGCGACGAUACAUAGCCGACCUGAGAGGGUGAUCGGCCACACUGGGACUGAGACACGGCCCAG
rnacentral:rRNA from 1 species